GUCGUUGGGUCAAAGCAGCGACUGCGUUGGCGUUGCGGGCCCGGUCCGUCGGUGCCCCACAAAGGUUAUCGGCGUGUCAACCGGCCCGCCCGUCCCCUCCUUCUGGAUUCCCGUUCCUGCUAUUGAGUUAGUGGGGACGUCACAGGGGGUCCAUCGUCGGCGCGUUUCAACGCGUCGGCGGUGGAUCGCUGGGGCCCAGAUCGUUUACCGUGAAAAAAUUAGAGUGUUCAAAGCAGGCAGAUUCAAUUUUCUGCCACCGAAUACAUUGGCAUGUGAUAAUGGAAUAGGACCCUGUCCUCCUAUUUUCAGUUGCUUUUGGCAGCGCGAGGACUAGGGUAAUGAUUAAUAGGGAGAGUUGGGGGCAUUAAUAUUUAAUUGUCAGAGGUGAAAUUCUUGGAUUUAUGAAAAAUUAACUUCUGCGAAAGCAUCUGCCAAGGAUGUU
rnacentral:rRNA from 1 species